GAUGAACGCUGGCGGCGUGCCUAACACAUGCAAGUCGAACGGAGUUACUUGUUUAGAUCUCUUCGGAGUGACGAACUUUUAACUUAGUGGCGGACGGGUGAGUAACACGUGAGCAACCUGCCUUUCAGAGGGGGACAACGGCUGGAAACGGUCGCUAAUACCGCAUAUGAGGUGAGUUGAAAUACUUAUCUUGAAAACUCCGGUGCUCAAGGAUGAGUCUGCAUCUGAUUAGCUAGUUGGUGGUGUAAUGGACCACCAAGGCGAUGAUCAGUAGCUGGUUUGAGAGGAUGAUCAGCCACAAUGGGACUGAGACACGGCCCAU
rnacentral:rRNA from 1 species